AGAGUUUGAUCCUGGCUCAGAAUCAACGCUGGCGGCGUGCCUAACACAUGCAAGUCGAGCGAGAAAGUGGUAGCAAUACCAUGAGUAAAGCGGCGCACGGGUGAGUAACACGUGACUAACCUACCCUCGAGUGGGGAAUAACUUCGGGAAACCGAGGCUAAUACCGCAUAAUACCCACGGGUCAAAAGAGCAAUCUGCUUGAGGAGGGGGUCGCGGCCGAUUAGUUAGUUGGCGGGGUGAUGGCCCACCAAGACGAUGAUCGGUAUCCGGCCUGAGAGGGCGCACGGACACACUGGAACUGAAACACGGUCCAGACUCCUACGGGAGGCAGCAGUGGGGAAUUUUGCGCAAUGGGGGAAACCCUGACGCAGCAACGCCGCGUGGAGGAUGAAGUCCUUCGGGACGUAAACUCCUUUCGAUCGGGACGAUUAUGACGGUACCGGAAGAAGAAGCCCCGGCUAACUUCGUGCCAGCAGCCGCGGUAAUACGAGGGGGGCGAGCGUUGUUCGGAAUUAUUGGGCGUAAGGGGUGCGUAGGCGGUUUGGUAAGUCUCUUGUGAAAUCUAUGGGCUCAACUCAUAGUCUGCAAGGGAAACUGCCGGGCUUGAGUGUGGGAGAGGUGAGUGGAAUUUCCGGUGUAGCGGUGAAAUGCGUAGAUAUCGGAAGGAACACCUGUGGCGAAAGCGGCUCACUGGACCACAACUGACGCUGAUGCACGAAAGCUAGGGGAGCAAACAGGAUUAGAUACCCUAGUAGUCC
rnacentral:rRNA from 1 species